AAGACCUUACGCUUUUGGAGCGGCCGAUGUCUGAUUAGCUUGUUGGUGAGGUAAAGGCUUACCAAGGCUUCGAUCAGUAGCUGGUCUGAGAGGACGACCAGCCACACUGGGACUGAGACACGGCCCAGACUCCUACGGGAGGCAGCAGUGGGGAAUUUUGGACAAUGGGGGAAACCCUGAUCCAGCCAUGCCGCGUGAGUGAAGAAGGCCUUCGGGUUGUAAAGCUCUUUCAGCCGGAACGAAACGGUUACGGUUAAUACCCGUGAUUACUGACGGUACCGGAAGAAGAAGCACCGGCUAACUACGUGCCAGCAGCCGCGGUAAUACGUAGGGUGCGAGCGUUAAUCGGAAUUACUGGGCGUAAAGCGUGCGCAGGUGGUUUUGUAAGUCAGAUGUGAAAGCCCCGGGCUCAACCUGGGAACU
rnacentral:rRNA from 1 species